rnacentral:rRNA from 1 species
UACGUAGGCAGCGAGCGUUGUUCGGAGUUACUGGGCGUAAAGGGUGUGUAGGCGGCCUCUUAAGUUUGGUGUGAAAUCUCCCGGCUCAACCGGGAGGGUGCGCCGAAUACUGAGGGGCUCGAGUGCGGGAGAGGAAAGUGGAAUUCCUGGUGUAGCGGUGAAAUGCGUAGAUGUCAGGAGGAACACCGGUGGUGUAGACGGCUUUCUGGACCGUAACUGACGCUGAGACACGAAAGCGUGGGUAGCAAACAGG